UUCUGGUUAAACAGCCGAAUCUAGGGGUAAUAUCGCUACUGGAAGAUUUUUCUUCGCUUUCUCAUAAUACUGGCAGCGUCCUGCAACUGGCUAUUUUGCUUUACAGUGAGAAGGGUGUUUUUCCUCCUCUGACAGAUCAGUGAAAAUUAGGACAAAAAGAUUAAAACUGCCCUUUAUCUCACUUGCUGCAGAUUCCCUUGAUGUGGACUUCUAAAAUUUGUUUCAGUGGACCGCUGAUCUGCUGCAAUGUCACAGCUACUGUGCUUCUGGUCAAGAGUUGUGCCAAUUUUUCUCACUUAAAGCAUUAGAACAACGACUCAAAUGCCAAUGCGGGAAUAUGGAAAGGAGGGGGAAGCUCAUAAAAGUACUAUGUUUUCUCCAGAGGCAAAAAAAAAAGGAGGAAGAGCCUGUCCUGGAUGUCUGAGGGAGGAAUAAACGUACAGCUUAAGAAAAAUUUUGUGGAUGAAAUUUUCACAUAGUUGUUUUUUCCAGUAUUGAGAGGUUUUGACCUUUCAAUAGAGAACUGAUUCUGGAGAACAACUUACUUCUGAGAUUGAAAAAUUCCUUCUGGAAAACUGAUGGAGCAUGAGAAUGAGGAAUAUUGCAUUGAGACAACUGAAUCUGCCACAGUAAGGAUGGAAAUUACAUGAGUUUCUUUCCUUUUCUUACAUGCAGCUUUUAACUGUGUGGUGAGUCAAAUGUAGACUUUAUUGGUUAUGUAAAUGUCUCACUAAUUUUAGAUACAGUCAAGAUCUGAAAGUGUUUCCUCUAUGAUCUUUUCUUCACUAUCAUGACUCAGUAUCACUUGCUAUAUCUAAUUGUAUUAGCCCUGUUACAUUUUACCAUUAUAAAUCAUUCUUGUCCUCAAACCAUACUGGCUUAUAUUUUAACAAUCUCCACUGGAGAUUUCCCCUGAUUCAUGCCUCAGUGGCCAGCCACUGGUGUGGCUGAAUAGAUGCAAAACUCUAAUGUAGAUGGGCAGCUGUUAAGCUAUAAUUUUUUUUUCACCACAUGCAAUUUCAAAGUAGAGUCUGCCGUACUGCUGCAAAUCUCAACUUUGCUUGUCUAUAGUAUGGGCUUACACUGGUGGACCUUAGUCCAGUGGCUGUUCACUGGUGGCUGAAAUUUUCAGUUUAGAUCACACUGGACUGUCUUAGGGAAUUAUCUUUCACUAUCAGGAAAUGCUCUGUAUGGGUUGCCUAUUAAACGCUUCAGUGUAAGUUGUUAGUAUAUCAAGUUUACAGGAAUAAAAGAAACGGUUAGCUAAUUGGUGUUACACUGAGAUGGUCAACCCCAUUUAAAACUAACUCAAAAAAAUUCACUCUAGCAAACCUUUGAGUGUCAAGGUGUGUCUCAUGUUUCCCAUCUGAGGACAUUUUGCAAAAGUGAGGCUCAUUAUCUGGUGUAUGUUAGGUACCUGAUUUAGAACUAGACAGUUUUCCUAUUGGGGCUUCUUCUAUCAGCAGUGUGCUAUGAAAUUUACCAAAGGAGACUUUACACAUGCAUUCCAAUAGUCAGAGAGAAUCAAUUUUUAUAUGAAUCCCUGCCUAAGAAGGUCACUCUCUAGCAGGAGGCUUGUCUUCUUGAAAUUCCCCUUUCUGCAAAAGUCACUGAUAAUAGCUAAUAUACUACAGCCCAUACUGCACAUAGAAGGCUGUCAAGAUGGUUGAUCUUGUAAGCCCAGUGCCUUAAUAGUUCGGGCCUUUGCUGGUAGGACCGUUAUGAGAGCUGAUGUGAACCUACAAAGUUGGUCACAGGCAUUGCAUGUGGCAGCUUCUCUAAGUACGUUUACAUGGCUUUGACAUCCAAACUGGAGAAUUUAAAGAGAUUGUUUCCUGCCAAUUGGAUAUUGGUCUCCCUAGAUUCCCAUCCAGCUUCAGCUCACUAGUACAAACUGUGCACAUACCAUUCUCUUUCUGCUGAACCAAGAAACUAUGAAAAACACCUGCCAGUAUGCAGUGUUGUUUACCCUCAUCUUCAUCCUCUGCAUAAUCAUAGGCUCUGUAAUAGAAAUGUCACUGACACUUCCCUUUAUAAUCAGUUGCUUAUAACUUUGCCAAACUUUAACCAUUUGGGUUGCAAUUUUCCACUCAGGGUCUCUGCCACAUAUGGAUUUUAUUUUUCCCUCCCAGCUGUUUCAGAGAACAGUAGGGGAAAAUACAUUGUUUGGACUAUAUUUUAAAAAAAAAUGCUGGCAACCUUUUCCUCGAAAAAAUCUCUCGUGCCCUGUGCUUUGGAGCAAGGACUCCAAAUUUGGGUGUGUGAUGGUCUUUGUGUCAUAGAUGUGUCUUUGUGAAAAAUCCACCCACAUCUGGCCAAGUUAUAAGUGUGAAAAAUUGCACUUUGCACAUGUUCAAGUAAACUUCUUAGAUUUUUAGCAGCUAAUUUCCCCAAAGGUUUUGUCUGCACUGGGCAUGCUCCAGCCCAUAGUUGAGCAGGGCUUUCCCUGAAAGUUCAGCUCUCGGGCAGCUGAACUCAGUAGGGAGCCUGUCACUGCUGUGCUUUCAAAGAUAACCCCCUUGCUGGGCCGAGGCAAGUUGGAGGAAGAAGCUGCCUGAUUCAAAUACAAAGGGGACAAGAGCCAACUACAUAGCGAGUAGAUGGGAACAUAGGAUUUGGGUAACAGAGUGGCACAAGGGAGAGAAAUAGUAGAGGGACUGAGACUCUGGGAUUGGGUGGGCUAAGGGGAGGAAUAGGGAGAGGAGGAGGAAUUUUGAAAAGGUAAGACUAGGAUUUGCUGAGCAAAGAUACUGGAACAACGAGCCUGUGGAGUUGGAACUGGGACAGCAUGGAGAGUGGCUCCUUGCCCCAGCCACAGGAGUAAAGAAGAUCCAGGACAGGGACAGGUUGGAGGGGAUGGACAGAAGAGUCUGUGCCUACUAGAGAACACUCCCGCCAGAGCGUGGAAUGGAACCCAAGUAUCUUGGAAUCUCAUUUUCUCUGCUGUAAGCAAAUAUCUGUGUAACCCACUUGCAAAGUAUCUCAUCCGCUCCUUGUGCGGGUCCACAGAGAGGAUUACAAACUACUAUUGCUGUCAGUUACUGCAUUAGCUCAAGUGGUGAAGGGUCUUUGCAUUGAAGCUAAAGUUUCCAACUCUGCUAAUGACCUGACUAGGUAUCCAUAUGAUGUCACCUUAUAGAAUUUCUAUUUUUUUAAAAAACUUAAUGUUCCAUGUGUAAUUUCCUAUGUUAAAAGAACAUAAUUAAAGUUAGUCAAGCAGUGAUUUAGUUGGGGAUUGGUCCUGCUUUGAUCAGGGGGUUGGACUAGAUGACCUCAAGUCCUUUCCAACCCUGAUAUUCUAUGAUUCAAAAAUUUGGAAAUGACAGAGUUAAUUGUGCCUACACCCAUUUGUUGCAGAAGUUGAGAGGUGUGUAAUAUUUGUAGUACUAGAACAGACAGGGCUAGGCUUGCCCAUAACUAAAGCUCUUCCCCUACCCCCAAGUUAUAGGGGGAGGAACCACUAAGUCCAAGUUACAAUUGAUCGCUGGGGACAACAAAGGAAAAAAGAGAAACAGGAGUGAGAUUAAAGAUUGAACAUCAGGGCAAACAGAGCAGAGAAUUCCAGAGAGCACCCCCUGUUUCUCAAAGGUAUCCAAGGAACUAGUGGACACAGCCCAGAGGAACUUCGCCUGGAGAUGUGAGCAGACAAGGGACAAUAAAAAGGCCUCACAAUUGCAGAGCACACUCUCCUCCCGCACAUCCAGCUUCCUCCUCUUGGCCAAUGUCAGGAGGAUGUUGACAAGGAGGUCCCAUGACUUUGUGGAGCCAUGGAUGAAAUGUACAAAAAUCAAGAGGUGUGGGGGAAAGGGGCAGCCAGAACCUCAGGAAGAGUGCACCCUGAUGCACUCUACAUAGAUCUCAAGGGUCUCCCUGUUGCUGCAAAAGGAACAUGUAUCAGAAGAGUUUGUGAACCAUGGUAGGACAUGCCUGUGCUCACAGCUCUAUGUAGGAGCUGCCAAUUAACAUCUCCAGUGGGCCAUGGAACUACAUUGGAGUACAGACAGGCCCACCAGGGUUCCUCACCCUCUGCAGGUGGCAACAGGUUCCUCCAACUUGGUGUUGGAUGGGAUGCAAGGGUGAGGAACUGAAUGGUAUGAAGCAUGAGUGCUUAGAUAUUUUCUGGGCACAGCUUGGAGGCAGACCAGCUGGAUGUCAUUCAGCUGACAGGUGGCAUGUUGGGGGCAGCUGGGGAGGCUCGUACAGCAGGAGCCUCGUGAUGAGUUCUGGAGGGCCAGAGAUGAGGGGUGGACACAAAGCACACUCAUGCGGGACCCACUCAAGGAAAGUCAUAAUCAGGAGCCAAAGCUGCCCUCACCUCCCAGAGCACACAAUAGUGGAGAUACAGGGUGGGCAGCCCCAUGUACUGGCUGAGCACAACAGGGUCCACCCAGUGUCUCAGAUCGAUUCUGGUGGCACCAGCCAGGACUAUCCUCUGGAACACAAAGGGUGACACCACUACUUUAACACAGAGAUGAGAGCUCUGUGUAGAAAGAGUUCUGCAGCACACUAUGGAACUUUUAGUGCAUGGUGACUGGUUAUUGUGUGGCAGUAGAUUUAGUGUGCUGUAGAUUUACACCCCAGCUUACUGUGCACUGUCAGUUUAGACAUGCCCUUGCUCCCUGCAUGAUUCAUGUCUUGGGUGUGGAACACAGCAUGGCAGUUACCAGACUUAGAGGUAUAGGGAAGACUCUGCAUUAACUUGAUUAGCUGUUUGCUAAUUUGAGGAGUCCCCAGUGAAAAUGCUGAUCAAAACCCCCACACAACAAUUGAAUGAUUUGCUGGUCUUUUGAUCCUGUCCCACACUCCAGCUUACAUCCUAUGUUGCCAUUUAUUCAUUCUUUAUUAUGUAGUUAUCAAAUAAAAAAGUGUAAGAUCUUUGUUUUGCAUAAAUGAGUUAAAUGUAUUGUAAAACAAUAUGCCAAAGAGAAGCUCAAACAUGAACAUUGCUUUUAUGUUGUAAAAAGUUGUACACUGUGUGGCAGGUGUUCUUCAUACAGCAAUGUUCUACAAAUAGAACUGCAUGACAAAUAGAAUGGGCAAGUUAAACUGAAAUGAUACCAUUUAUUUCUUAUGUAUGACAUUAUUGUAACUGUUUUUAAAAGUGCAAAAUGACUUCCAUACUUGCGUUCAGGGCUUAGCAGACUCUGUUGUAUAUAAUUUCAUGGAAACCAAGUGUUUCUUCUUUUUAUACUCCCUUAUAAUAGCUGCACUAUAUAUUUGAGUUUUUACAAUACUUUCCUCACUGCCAAAUGGUUUGGGGUUCAAAAAUAAAAUCAGAAAAAGCUCUGA